GGAGGAUCGAAACUUUGGGUGUGCUAGAAUAAGGAAACCACAGAGAGGCCUUCUUUUCUAGGGUUCUGCAACUGAAACCUGGCAGAUUUCUCUUGUGUCUAGAUGACCUGCCUCCUGUAGGCAUGUGACCUGAGGGUCCCCAAGAAAAACAAUGCAGUUCACACUUCAGUUCUCAAAAUGCACUACUUCCUGGAAAAAAAUCUCAUCCAACAAAAGGAUCUCUUAGACAUUUAGGAGUCUACAGAGACCCUUAUUAUGAGGCCUCCCAAAGGGAUACAUUUCUACAAUCUUUAGCAGUGAGGGAGAAAGGCACAAAGCCCUGGUCCUGCAACCCUGUGUCAAAGCUCUGGUAGUAGCAGGUCAUUAGACCCUCUGUCCAAACUUCCCCAUAUAUAUCCAGCUUAGCUGGUAGAGCCCAACUCCUUCUGCCUGGCAUCACCUGAAAAGAGAUGCGAGAUUCAGGAUCUCAGGAACUCCGCACUUGGAACCGGAAGGAACAAGGAAGAGGAUAAUUCUAGGCUGUGCUCAGACCAAGAACUAAAUAGGGGAAGAAGUAGCAAAAGAUUCUGGGCUGAUGGAAAUUCAGGCCAAGAUCUAAGUACAAGACAAAGAAAAGACAUUUUACCCGGGGCACCCCUGUGUACUGAAGAUGGCAGCUGCUGUGGGAAAGUUGCUCUGAGCCUCAGUUGCCCGACCUGUAAGUGCCAUUCCUUGGGGCAUUUCUGCCAUGGCAGCCCUCAGGCCUGCUGCUUCUGGGAGAACAAGCUUGACAAACAUAUUACAGUCUGGUUCUGGUCAAGCAAAAUUCAUUAGCUCCAGGUCCUCAUGUCAUGCACCUGCUGUCACCCAGCAUGUGCCCUAUUUCAAGUAUAUAGCCACUAUCAAUGGAGAGUUCAAAGACCUAAGCCUUGAUGUUUUAAGGGGGAAAUAUUUGAUGAUUUUCUUCUAUCCUCUGGAUUUCACUUUUGUGUGUCCUACAGAAAUUGUUGCUUUUAGUGACAAAACUAAGGAAUUUCAUGAUGUGAACUGUGAAGUUAUUGUGGUCUCAGUGGACUCCCACUUUAGCCAUCUUGCCUGGAUAUAUACACCAAGAAAGAAUGGUGGUUUGGGCCACAUGAACAUUGCACUCUUGUAAGAUUUAACUAAGCAAGUUUCCUGAGCCUACAGUGUGCCGUUCGAAGGUCCUGGUCUUACAUUAAGAGGUCUCCUCAUAAAUGACCCCAAUGGAGUCAUCAAGCACUUGAAUGUCAAUGAUGUCUCAGUGGGCUGAAGCAUGGAAGAAACCCUCUUCUGGGUGAAGGCAUUCCAGUGUGUAGAAACCCAUGGAGAAGUCUGCCCAGCAAACUGGACAUGGGGUUCUCCUACAAUCACGCCAAAUCCAGCUGCUUCCAAAGAAUGUAAAUCAGUAGAUCACCCAUGUGUAUCUGCACCUUCUCACCCCAGAGAAGAACCACAGUUGAAACCUGCUCUUAUCAUUUUAAAGAUGAUAAUUUGUAGAAGGCAAGGAACCAAUUAUGCCUAUAUUCAUAACUAUUACUCUAAAUGUUUUGUUUCUGUAAUAUUAGCUAAGGCCUUUUAAACAUGGUUAGUUGCUAGUAUAAGGAAUCCCUUAUUGGUAACAUCUUGUUGGCUGGCUGGCUAGCUAGCUAGUUUCUACAGAACAUAAUUUGCUUCUGUAGAAGGCAAUUCUUAGAUCAUGUCUUCAAUGGCAACACUCUCCUGUCUUAGCCUUACUUGAAUCUUGCCUACAACAAAGUAGAGCAACACACAUUGAAAGCUUCUGAUCAAGGGUCCUGAAAUGUUCAUCUUGAACGUCUUUGUAUUAAACUGAAUUUUCUUUUAAGCUAACAAAGAUCACAGUUUUCAGUUGUUAUCAGCAGUCUAAUUUAACUCCUGCAAUGAAUGUUUAUGUGACUGAAGCAAAUGUGAAUAUUAUUUUAGAAAGUGGCAGAGCGACUGAUCAUGCAUGAUCCCUCAUCCCUGAUAUUUAUAGUAUAUGUAGUCAUUUUUCUUAUUUUAUUCAUUAGCUAACUUUGUCUAUAUAUAUUUCUAGAUAUUGAUUAAUGUAAUAGAUUAUAAAGGAUAUUUAUUGGAUCCA